GACGAACGCUGGCGGCGUGCCUAAUACAUGCAAGUUGAGCGCUGAAGGUUGGUACUUGUACCAACUGGAUGAGCAGCGAACGGGUGAGUAACGCGUGGGGAAUCUGCCUUUGAGCGGGGGACAACAUUUGGAAACGAAUGCUAAUACCGCAUAAAAACUUUAAACACAAGUUUUAAGUUUGAAAGAUGCAAUUGCAUCACUCAAAGAUGAUCCCGCGUUGUAUUAGCUAGUUGGUGAGGUAAAGGCUCACCAAGGCGAUGAUACAUAGCCGACCUGAGAGGGUGAUCGGCCACAUUGGGACUGAGACACGGCCCAAACUCCUACGGGAGGCAGCAGUAGGGAAUCUUCGGCAAUGGACGAAAGUCUGACCGAGCAACGCCGCGUGAGGGAAGAAGGGUGUCGGAUCGUAAAACUCGGUUGGUAGAGAAGAACGUUGGUGAGAGUGGAAAGCUCAUCAAGUGACGGUAACUACCCAGAAAGGGACGGCUAACUACGUG
rnacentral:rRNA from 1 species